rnacentral:tRNA from 1 species
AAGGCUUUAAGUUAAAUAAACUAAUAGCCUUCAAAGCUAUAAAUAAAGACACUAAAUUUUUAAGCCUUA